AUGUGUCACAGAUGAAAUUCUGGUGAUCCUUCUAAUCGUGUCCCACCUAAACUAAUGCCCCUUUCCUGGAUUUGCACUAUAACUAGGAGUUCUUGCUUCUUUGUAAUAUAAAUAUUGUUAUUUUUGGUUACAUUUAAUCCUCCUUCUUCCUUCCGUUCUACACACCAUCUUCUUGUAUGACCUCAGCAAGUCUACAUUUCCUACAAUCUCUCCAUGUUCCCCAGUAAUACCCACCAUCUUCUUGUUGGACCCCAGCAUGGUCUACAUUUCUUACAAUCUUUCCUCCUUUGCCUUAUACUACCCGCCAUUUUCUUGUAUGACCUCAGCAAGUCUACAUUUCCUAUAAUCCCUCCUUCUUCCUUCCAUUCUUAAUCACAUGUUUUGGAUUCAUCUGCGUUCACAGGAGAUACCAGCUAAUUACUUGUUAAUUGGGUCUCCAAUCACCAUCCCACUGGCCGUGUGAUCAGUGGAUCAGAGUAUAUAUUCGAUAUCCAUUUGUUGUGUAUGUUAGCUAUGAUUAAGCACUGAGUUACAGUGUGAAAUGCGUCAGCUUGCAUCUGUUUUUUUGCUGUGGCAUGUAUUUUUGUGAUAUGAUUUUACAAUAAAGGAACCAAUUUUUUUGGAGUGCGACUGUCCAAACCUUCCUUCCUACUUUUUGCAUUCCUCCCAUUCUACCCACCAUCUUCUUGUAUGACCUCAGCAAGUCUAUGUUUCCUAUAAUCCCUCCUUCUUCCUCCCAUUCUACCCGCCAUCUUCUUGUAUGACCUCAGCAAGUCUACAUUUCUUACAGUUCUCCACCAUCUUCUGGUAUGACCUCAAGGUGUAUGCAUUGUAUUCAGUCCCUCCAUGUUCCCCAAUACUACCCACCCUCUUCUUGUAUGACCUCAGCAAGUCUACAUUUCUUACAGUUCUCCAUCAUCUUCUUGUAUGACCUCAGGGUGUAUGCAUUGUAUUCAGUCCCUCCAUGUUCCCCAAUACUGCCCGCCAUCUUCUUGUAUGACAUCCUCGAUGUGUCACAGAUGAAUUUCCGGUGAUCCCUCUAAUCGUGUCCCACCUAAACUACUUCCCCAUUUCCUGGAUUUGCACUGUAACUAGGAGUUCCUGCUUCUAUGUAAUAUAAAUAUUGUUAUUUUUGGUUACAUUUCAUGCUAUUUGUUUGAAUUAUCAGAUGAUUUUAUUUGAUGUAUUUUAUAAAGCUUUGUUGUAUA